rnacentral:sRNA from 1 species
AUCGUAAAUCUCUUGCCUGGU